ACGGCUCAGUAACACGUCGGUAACCUACCCUCGGGAGGGGGAUAACCCCGGGAAACUGGGGCUAAUUCCCCAUAGGCCUGAGGUACUGGAAGGUCCUCAGGCCGAAAGGGACUUAUGUCCGCCCGAGGAUGGGCCGGCGGCCGAUUAGGUAGUUGGUGGGGUAAUGGCCCACCAAGCCGAAGAUCGGUACGGGCUGUGGGAGCAGGAGCCCGGAGAUGGACACUGAGACACGGGUCCAGGCCCUACGGGGCGCAGCAGGCGCGAAACCUCCGCAAUGCGGGAAACCGCGACGGGGGGACCCCGAGUGCCGUGGCAACGCCACGGCUUUUCCGGAGUGUAAAAAGCUCCGGGAAUAAGGGCUGGGCAAGGCCGGUGGCAGCCGCCGCGGUAAUACCGGCGGCCCGAGUGGUGGCCGCUAUUAUUGGGCCUAAAGCGUCCGUAGCCGGGCCCGUAAGUCCCUGGCGAGAUCCCACGGCUCAACCGUGGGGCUUGCUGGGGAUACUGCGGGUCUUGGGACCGGGAGAGGCGGGGGGUACCCCUGGGGUAGGGGUGAAAUCCUAUAAUCCCAGGGGGACCGCCAGUAGCGAAGGCGCCCCGCUGGAACGGGUCCGACGGUGAGGGACGAAGGCCAGGGGAGCAAACCGGAUUAGAUACCCGGGUAGUCCUGGCUGUAAAGGAUGCGGGCUAGGUGUCGGGUGAGCCUCGAGCUCGCCCGGUGCCGUAGGGAAGCCGUUAAGCCCGCCGCCUGGGGAGUACGGCCGCAAGGCUGAAACUUAAAGGAAUUGGCGGGGGAG
rnacentral:rRNA from 1 species